CAGGAAGCAAAUCAGACACCUGGCCCAGUCGCCUCUCUGAUAAGGAGUGGGAGAGAAUGCCAGCCAUGCAUUUCGCGACUCUCCCUCUGCUCGUUCCCAGAAGCACACAUUGAAGCUUCCUUUCCAGGGAAAGAAAAAGGCCACAUUUCUGGGGAAAAAAAAAAAACUUGAAAAAUAACCAAGCACUCGCUGCACAUAAAACAGCUGCUGCGUGCAGACCACUUGGUGCAGCCACGACGCGGGGGAGAGUGAAGACGGGCAAUUCCGGGGCGGUCGUGUCAUCUUUCUGGGUGAGUACACACGUGACACCGAGAGAAGAGAAAGUGGUUUCCCAGGUUGGCGGCACCAGCACGUUGCCAGGCAAUGAGCCAAGACCGAGGGCUCAGACAAAAGACAGAGCGGCCGACUGGGCUCAGCGGACACACAGCGCAGAGCCAGCUGCUGGCUGGGAGGACGCCCUGCAGCCUCGCAGGGAACGUGGGCUCCGGCUUCCAGAGGGCAGCGCCAUUCGCUCACAGACGGCCAGGAGACCCUCCCUGUGCAGGCAAUGCCGGGUGAGGCAUCGCUCCUGAAGAAUUAAUCAGAAACUCAGAAAAAUUCCGCCGAGCAGAAGCCAGAUGAGAAUCCGACUGGAAAUCUAGAAGGAAUCUGACCAGCAUCGCAAAGAAGGGGAGGAGCUGAGUGGGAAGGCAGCCUCAGGGAGCUUCCCCGGAAAGAUGGGCCUGCUCAUUCCAUCCCCGACAGGACUGUCAGUCAUUUCACAACCACGGCUGCUGAUGAAGACAAUCAAACAGCAGCAACCUUCUGAGGUCAAGACAGUGCUGGGCGUCUCUCGGAGUCACUCCCCUAUCUUUUCGUCUGUUCUCUCAGGACAGCUUGGUGACGUUGCUAAGGAAGGAAUUUGUGAAAAUGAGGAAGCGGCCCCAGAAUCCUUGUUGUUUUUCCCCAAACCUGGCUACUGGUGGUCAGAGUGACCUUGAGGUGCCUCACAGGGUUGUUCCAGGUGGCCCAGGUCUGCACCCUCUGACCCAUGGCCGACCAUCUCCAUGGCCUGUAAAGGUGCUUCUCUUAGGUGCCACCCAAGUGCCACGGCAGUGUCAGAGGGAGGCCCAUAGCCAGCCUCCUGAGUCAGAGCCUUUGGGCUGGGACCGGGGCAAGCACAUUUUUAGAAAGUUCCUCCAGGACACGUUUGGUGGAGCUCAUCCAUAAUGCUCUCUGGACAACCUUUGGACUAAGUAACUUUCCUAAAGUCUCUCAACUCAGUGGCCACCACCUUAGAACUGGGAACUGUCCCUCAAUGCCCACUCAGAACUCCCUGGGAAGCUUUGGACUUAGAUGUCUCCAUCGCAGGCACACCCCAGCGAAUAUCUUAUCACCAUGAGCUGCGCUUGCUGAUCUCAUUUAUUCUUCAUGAAAUAUUUGUGGAUUUUCUUUUUGUGGCCAGGCACAGGAUAGACUUAGAACAGCAUCCACUUUGUGAAACAAGUAGGACAGGAAUGCAGAUGAGUAAGGGGCAAGACAAGAAAGCACAGUGAGAUGUGAGAUGUGUCCUGCUAGCAUGGGUGGCGGGUGGCACACAGCAAACUUUGGGGAGUCAGGAAAGGCUUCCAAGAAAAAAAGUGUCUGGGAGUUACUCAUCAACGGCAUAAAGUUUCAAUCAACCAAGAUGAGUAAGCUUCAGACAGCGGCUGUACACCAUUGCAUCUGCAGUCAGCAAUAACACACCGACACCUAAACAUUGGUUAAGACGGUGGAUCUCAUGUUAAGUGUACUAACCAUAAUAGAAUUAAAUAUGAGAAAGAAACAAUGUCUAAACUGAGACCUGUGAGUUAAGAAGGACUUAACCAGGUGAAAAUGGAGGCAGGGAUUCCAGGAAAGAGGCUUUGCAAACAAUCUGUUGUCUCCUCUAAUACACCUUAAGCCCCUCAAGAGCACAAACCAUGUUCAUUUGGCCUGAAUUCUGAGUACCUAGUGAAGGUUCAAUACAUUUUGGUUAAAUGAAUAAUCAACUCAGCUGCUGAUAUAUAUAUAUAUGUUUGAGAUAUACAUAUAUCUCAUAUAUAUAUCUAUAUGAGAUAUAUAUAUGAGAUACAUAUAUGAGAGAGAUAUAUAUAUGUAUAUUUCUCAAACAUGUAUAAAUAUAUGUGUGUAUACACACUCACACACAUAUAUACACAUAAGAGGGCAUUGAGAGAGAGAUUGGCAUUUGCAAAAUAAUUUGUUGCUCAAAUUCAGAGGUAUUUGAGCACGUUAUCUUCUUGCAAAUAAUAGAAAAUUGUACCAUGAUAACCCAUGCAAUCUCUGCUUAAUACAUGAGGAAGAAGAUGCAAAUCUAUGUUCUUUCUUUUACCAGGACCUCACUAUAGGAAGAAAAAAAAAGUAAAGCAACCUCGCAGGUAUCUUUGCUGGUUAACAUCAUAGAGUAUGAAGGGUAUCUUGAUGUGAUCCAUUUUAAGCUACAAAGUUUCUUACAGUCAUACUCAAAACUGGCAAAAUACAGGACAUCAUACACAUUUUCAUAUUUUAUUCUAAUGUUUAUUCUGAGGUCAACAAUAUAAAUUAGUUUCUGAGAUGCGCAGAUAAAUUAAAAUUCCAUGCAGGUGACCAUAGACAUACCCCUACUAUGUGUAUCUGUCUAAACUAUAACCGGAGAGGACUACAAUUAAUCCCUUAAGCCCUUUAUCUUCUUUUCGUCUCCUGCUUGGUUCUACGUAAACACCUUUGCUGAACUGGAAGAUCCAACCAACUUAUACGAGCUUCUUGGAUGCGAAUGAAAACCUCGUGAAUUGCCCAGCAAGUUGACAUUCCUUUCUAGAUCCAGCACAUACAACUCUCUCCAGGUGAGCACAAAGAAAGAAGAGAUUUGAAGUCAGCGAGGUGCGUUUUAUUGGUUCAAAAGGGGAGGUUAUUUUUUAAAGGCUUAUGGAAAAAGGUAGCUAUGUUUGUUCUCUCAAAUAAUCACAUAAAGACCCUGCUAACAUUUCUGGUACAACAACCCUGCCGUGGUUAAUUUCCAGACAAUGAAAGGUGAGAAGGCUGGAAAGGAAACCGAAUCCUGCAGUGUCUAAUCAAUUUUAAUAGAAUCCGCUAAUUGAAUCAUCCACAUCCUUUAAAAAGAGACAUGGAAAUCAUGGAAGCAAGCCUCUGUUUUGGUGCAUUCUUCAUCCCUCAUGGCAUGUCAAAAAAAUUGAAUUUCUCACAGUGGAGAAAGAGUCUGUCAAAGUUAACUUUACCUGGAACUAAUAAAUUAUUAUAUUUCAUCCAAAGGGUUUCCAAUAAGUAGUUAUUCAAAGACUCAAUUUUUCAAUUAAUGUCUCCAAAUGCUUUUCUGAUCAUAAUUUUCCUAGUACAUUUUCAUGUUUGCUUCUCACUAUUGUCUUUGUGAGGAGUGUUGGAAAUUCCCAAGCUGGGGCAACCCCCAGGCUUCUCCCUCCAACCCCUCUCUCACUUGGACUCAGGCUUCCCCAGGGAGCAGACUCAGGGCGCACUGAGGGCAGGAGGAGAUGCUGGCAGCCCCUCAGGGUGGAGGCCACCCUGGAACCUUGACCUAGGGAGUCAGUAGUCUGUGGUGUCAGAAGGUGGCAUUAGAUCAGAGGGCUCAGGAAUCCAUAGUCAAG
rnacentral:lncRNA from 1 species